GGGGAAUAUUGGACAAUGGGCGAAAGCCUGAUCCAGCCAUGCCGCGUGAGUGAUGAAGGCCCUAGGGUUGUAAAGCUCUUUCAACGGUGAAGAUAAUGACGGUAACCGUAGAAGAAGCCCCGGCUAACUUCGUGCCAGCAGCCGCGGUAAUACGAAGGGGGCUAGCGUUGUUCGGAAUUACUGGGCGUAAAGCGCACGUAGGCGGAUACUUAAGUUAGGGGUGAAAUCCCGAGGCUCAACCUCGGAACCGCCUUUAAUACUGGGUAUCUCGAGUAUGGUAGAGGUGAGUGGAAUUCCGAGUGUAGAGGUGAAAUUCGUAGAUAUUCGGAGGAACACCAGUGGCGAAGGCGGCUCACUGGACCAUUACUGACGCUGAGGUGCGAAAGCGUGGGGAGCAAAC
rnacentral:rRNA from 1 species